rnacentral:rRNA from 2 species
GGGGAGCUUGCUCCCCUGACGUCAGCGGCGGACGGGUGAGUAACACGUGGGCAACCUGCCUCACAGACUGGGAUAACUCCGGGAAACCGGGGCUAAUACCGGAUAAUCAAGGGAACCGCAUGGUUCCUUUGUAAAAGUUGGGUUUUACCUAACACUGUGGGAUGGGCCCGCGGCGCAUUAGCUUGUUGGUGAGGUAAAAGCUCACCAAGGCGACGAUGCGUAGCCGACCUGAGAGGGUGAUCGGCCACACUGGGACUGAGACACGGCCCAGACUCCUACGGGAGGCAGCAGUAGGGAAUCAUCCGCAAUGGGCGAAAGCCUGACGGUGCAACGCCGCGUGAGUGAUGACGGUCUUCGGAUUGUAAAGCUCUGUUGUCAGGGAAGAACAAGUGCCGUGCGAAUAGAGCGGCACCUUGACGGUACCUGACCAGAAAGCCCCGGCUAACUACGUGCCAGCAGCCGCGGUAAUACGUAGGGGGCAAGCGUUGUCCGGAAUUAUUGGGCGUAAAGCGCGCGCAGGCGGUUCCUUAAGUCUGAUGUGAAAGCCCACGGCUCAACCGUGGAGGGUCAUUGGAAACUGGGGAACUUGAGUGUAGGAGAGGAAAGUGGAAUUCCAAGUGUAGCGGUGAAAUGCGUAGAUAUUUGGAGGAACACCAGUGGCGAAGGCGACUUUCUGGCCU